rnacentral:rRNA from 1 species
UACGUAGGUGGCGAGCGUUGUCCGGAAUCACUGGGCGUAAAGCGCGCGCAGGCGGCGAUCUACGUCUGGGGUGAAAGCCCGGAGCUCAACUCCGGGACUGCCUUGGAUACGGGAUCGCUUGAGGAUCGGAGAGGCAAGGGGAAUUCCACGUGUAGCGGUGAAAUGCGUAGAGAUGUGGAGGAACACCUGUGGCGAAGGCGCCUUGCUGGCCGAUUUCUGACGCUGAGGCGCGAAAGCGUGGGGAGCAAACAG